GAUGAACGCUGGCGGCGUGCCUAAUACAUGCAAGUCGAGCGAACGGACGAGAAGCUUGCUUCUCUGAUGUUAGCGGCGGACGGGUGAGUAACACGUGGAUAACCUACCUAUAAGACUGGGAUAACUUCGGGAAACCGGAGCUAAUACCGGAUGAUAUUUUGAACCGCAUGGUUCAAAAGUGAAAGACGGUCUUGCUGUCACUUAUAGAUGGAUCCGCGCUGCAUUAGCUAGUUGGUAAGGUAACGGCUUACCAAGGCAACGAUGCAUAGCCGACCUGAGAGGGUGAUCGGCCACACUGGAACUGAGACACGGUCCAGACUCCUACGGGAGGCAGCAGUAGGGAAUCUUCCGCAAUGGGCGAAAGCCUGACGGAGCAACGCCGCGUGAGUGAUGAAGGUCUUCGGAUCGUAAAACUCUGUUAUUAGGGAAGAACAUAUGUGUAAGUAACUGUGCACAUCUUGACGGUACCUAAUCAGAAAGCCACGGCUAACUACGUGCCAGCAGCCGCGGUAAUACGUAGGUGGCAAGCGUUAUCCGGAAUUAUUGGGCGUAAAGCGCGCGUAGGCGGUUUUUUAAGUCUGAUGUGAAAGCCCACGGCUCAUCCGUGGAGGGUCAUUGGAAACUGGAAAACUUGAGUGCAGAAGAGGAAAGUGGAAUUCCAUGUGUAGCGGUGAAAUGCGCAGAGAUAUGGAGGAACACCAGUGGCGAAGGCGACUUUCUGGUCUGUAACUGACGCUGAUGUGCGAAAGCGUGGGGAUCAAACAGGAUUAGAUACCCUGGUAGUCCACGCCGUAAACGAUGAGUGCUAAGUGUUAGGGGGUUUCCGCCCCUUAGUGCUGCAGCUAACGCAUUAAGCACUCCGCCUGGGGAGUACGACCGCAAGGUUGAAACUCAAAGGAAUUGACGGGGACCCGCACAAGCGGUGGAGCAUGUGGUUUAAUUCGAAGCAACGCGAAGAACCUUACCAAAUCUUGACAUCCUUUGACAACUCUAGAGAUAGAGCCUUCCCCUUCGGGGGACAAAGUGACAGGUGGUGCAUGGUUGUCGUCAGCUCGUGUCGUGAGAUGUUGGGUUAAGUCCCGCAACGAGCGCAACCCUUAAGCUUAGUUGCCAUCAUUAAGUUGGGCACUCUAAGUUGACUGCCGGUGACAAACCGGAGGAAGGUGGGGAUGACGUCAAAUCAUCAUGCCCCUUAUGAUUUGGGCUACACACGUGCUACAAUGGACAAUACAAAGGGCAGCGAAACCGCGAGGUCAAGCAAAUCCCAUAAAGUUGUUCUCAGUUCGGAUUGUAGUCUGCAACUCGACUACAUGAAGCUGGAAUCGCUAGUAGUCGUAGAUCAGCAUGCUACGGUGAAUACGUUCCCGGGUCU
rnacentral:rRNA from 1 species